AGGCCAUCCAUGUUGAGCUCUCCAAACUAGCAAGGCGGCAGAGGGGGCUGCUGGAAUGCCCUGGCCCAGGAGGGGCCACUCCGGAAGACAUGGCAACACCCACCAUUGCUCACAGUGCUCAGACAGAUGCUCCUGCUCCCCAGCCAAGCUGAGUGGCUGCUUCUUUUCCUGGGUUGACCCUAGAAAGCCUUGCAGAAAUGUGAAGUUCUACCUUCUCCGACAGCAAGGACUUCUGAGGGGCGUCAGGGCCAAAUACUUGUUGUGUGUGCCCACUUGUUUCUCCUGUGAUGGUAUAUACCUACAGCUGCUAUGGAACUGCGUGGCUGUAAGUCCAAAAAGGAAGUCUUCGGUCUCUUCCUCCUCCUCUUUCUCUGCCACCACCAACACCAGUGAUUGAGAGGUUUGCAAUCGAGGUUUAUCCAAGAAUGAAACAUGGCACCCGAAGUCAAGUGGCUGGCUCUCAUUGACACAUUUGAUGAUGAUGUUCCCUAAGUGUAAAGGAAGGCUGUCAUUGUGAAAGGGUGGGAAGAUCCUUUCCAGCUGAAGCUGGAUACUCUGAGGCUGGAUGUUGUCCUGCAACCCAGCUUGCUGCUUAUAUUUUCUUCUGUGCUCUAUUCAUUUCCCUGCCAAUCUGCAGGGAAGCCACCUUGGAAUACAUCUCAUUCAACCCAAAGACUGGCCUGUUCCUAGUGUUGAGCUGAGGAGGAGAACAAAUUCCAGGGUGUGGACAGACAUACAGCUCCCUGCAUGGACUGGCAAAGGGUUUUCUGCUGCUAUUGUGGGGUGGGGUGGGGUGCUCUGCUUCUGGCAUUAUUAUUCUCCCUUUUCUAAAAGCAGACAAACACCACUCUUACUGUGUUGUGUUCUUCUUCCAUACCUCUUUGAAACACAAGUCUGGGCAAAGAGGGGCUUCAUGACUGCCACAAGGGCCAGCCAGGCAGCACUUUG